rnacentral:rRNA from 1 species
CCUACGGGCGGCAGCAGUGAGGAAUAUUGGUCAAUGGACGCAAGUCUGAACCAGCCAAGCCGCGUGCAGGAAGACGGCUCUAUGAGUUGUAAACUGCUUUUGUACGAGGGUAAACGCAGAUACGCGUAUCUGUCUGAAAGUAUCGUACGAAUAAGGAUCGGCUAACUCCGUGCCAGCAGCCGCGGUAAUACGGAGGAUUCAAGCGUUAUCCGGAUUUAUUGGGUUUAAAGGGUGCGUAGGUGGUCGGUUAAGUUAGAGGUGAAAUCCCGAGGCUCAACUUUGGAAUUGCCUUUGAUACUGGUAGGCUUGAGAACAGGUGAGGUAGGCGGAAUGCGUGGUGUAGCGGUGAAAUGCUUAGAGAUCACACAGAACACCGAUUGCGAAGGCAGCUUACCAAGCUACUUCUGACGUUGAGGCACGAAAGCGUGGGGAGCAAACAGGAUUAGAUACCCGUGUAGUC